GCAUAUCAAUAAGCGGAGGAAAAGAAACUAACAAGGAUUCCCCUAGUAACGGCGAGUGAAGAGGGAAGAGCCCAAGAUUGAAAGCUGGCGUCUUUGGCGUCCGCAUUGUAAUCUCAAGAAGUGUUUUUCCGCUUCGGACCAUGCCUAAGUCCCUUGGAAAAGGGCAUCAUAGAGGGUGAUAAUCCCGUACAUGGCAUGGAGCGCCCGUAGCUUUGUGAUACACUUUCUAAGAGUCGAGUUGUUUGGGAAUGCAGCUCAAAAUGGGUGGUAAAUGCCAUCUAAGGCUAAAUAUUGGGGAGAGACCGAUAGCGAACAAGUACAGUGAUGGAAAGAUGAAAAGAACUUUGAAAAGAGAGUUAAACAGUACGUGAAAUUGCCAAAAGGGAAGGGUAGGAGGUCAGAGAUGCGUCUUGGGAUUCAGCCUCGCUUCUGCUUGGUGUUUUUCCCAAGUUGCAGGCCAACGUCGGUUUUGGGCACUGGAGAAGGGUGGGAGGAACGUGGCACCCCUCGGGGUGUGUUAUAGCCUCCUACUGGAUACAGCGACCGAGACCGAGGAACGCAGCGUACUCGUAAGAGCGGGCCUUUUUUGGCACCUUUACGCUUAGGGCGUUGGCAUAAUGGCCCUCUACCACCCGUCUUGA
rnacentral:rRNA from 1 species